rnacentral:pre_miRNA from 1 species
UAAGUACUCCCUUCGCCCGGAAAUACUUGUCCGAGGAAUGGAUGUAUAUAGAUGUAUUUUAGUUCUAGAUACAUCUAUUUGUAUCCAUUUCUAUGACAAGUAUUUUUGGACGGAGGGAGUAUGGA